AGUGAACGCUGGCGGUAGGCCUAGCACAUGCAAGUCGAACGGCAGCACAGUAAGAGCUUGCUCUUACGGGUGGCGAGUGGCGGACGGGUGAGGAAUACAUCGGAUUCUACUUUUUCGUGGGUGAUAACGUAGGGAAAUUUACGCUAAUAACGCAUACGACCUACGGGUGAAAGCAGGCGAUCUUCUGACCUUGCGCGAUUGAAAGAGCCGAUGUCGGAGUAGCUAGUUGGCGGGGUAAAGGCCCACCCAGGCGACGAUGCGUAGCUGGUCUGACAGCGAGAUCACACAGACUGGAAGUGAGACACGGUCCAGACUCCUGCGGGGGGCCGCAGUGGGGAAUAUUGGACGAUGGGCGCAAGCCUGAUCCAGCCAUACCGCGUGAGUGAAGAAGGACUUCGGGUUGUAAAGUCCUUUUGUUGGGAAAGAAAAGCAGCAGGUUAAUACGCCGCUAUUCUGACGGUACCCAAAGAAUAAGCACCGGCUAACUUCGUG
rnacentral:rRNA from 1 species